rnacentral:rRNA from 1 species
GGAAACUAACAAGGAUUCCCCUAGUAACUGCGAGUGAAGCGGGAAAAGCUCAAAUUUAAAAUCUGGCGGUCUCUGGUCGUCCGAGUUGUAAUUUAGAGAAGUGACAUCCGUGUUGGACCGUGUACAAGUCUCCUGGAACGGAGCGUCGUAGAGGGUGAGAAUCCCAUAUAUGGCACGGACUACCAAUGCAUUGUGAUGCGCUCUCGAAGAGUCGAGUUGUUUGGGAAUGCAGCUCAAAAUGGGUGGUAAAUUCCAUCUAAAGCUAAAUAUAGGCGAGAGACCGAUAGCGAACAAGUACCGUGAGGGAAAGAUGAAAAGAACUUUGGAAAGAGAGUUAAACAGUACGUGAAAUUGUUGAAAGGGAAACGCUUGAAGUCAGUCGCGUCGUUCAGGGAUCAGCCUCGCUUUGCGUGGUGUACUUCCUGUUUGACGGGUCAGCAUCAAUUUCGAUCGCUGGAAAAAGUUCAGGGGAAUGUGGCAUCCUCGGAUGUGUUAUAGCCCUCGUUCGUAUACAGCGGUUGGGAUUGAGGAACUCAGCACGCCGCAAGGCCGGGUAUUUAUACCACGUACGUGCUUAGGAUGCUGGCAUAAUGGCUUUAAUCGAC